UAAAUCACUUCAUUAACAGGGCUGAGGCGAAUCAGGCUCUGGUGCUGUCCCCUGGGCAAUCCAGAGCUGCUGGAUGGCUGCACCCACUUCACCUGCGAUCCCUACAUCCAGAUGGGAAAAUAUAGCAAUGUAUUCCCUCUGCAGCCCCUAACAACUCAGGGUGCCCUUUGGCGGAUGAAGGAUGACAAAGCCUAUUUCAAGGUAUUUUCAUGCCUGCUAAGGUAGCAAAAAUGAUCAGACAGCAUCAAAUUCUUGGUUUCCACAUCCAAAGGAAAGCCUUGCGCUAUGCUGCUGCAAAUUCUUACAUCCAAAUCUGAAGCAGGCAAACUCGGUUCAUCUCUCUUUAUGAUACUGAGCCUCUUAUGUUUUCCCUCCCAGCACUUUCAUCUGCCUUUUGAGCUGCUCAGCAUAGUGAACCAGAUGUAGCAAGAUUUAGGAGUCAGCACUUAAACACUUGCCAACUCUUCUCUGAAAUAGCAAUCUGCCAGCCUGAUACACUCCCUCGAGACAUGUGCUGCUUCCUGGGGGCUUCUAUCAGGGACAUUACUGAAAGACUGCUGAGCCUUGUACAGUCCACUGACUGGUAUCCACUGCUGUUGUUUCGCGUGGGCACCAGAGAUACAACCAGGAGCAGUCUGAGCAGUGUCAUGAAGGACUACGGAGCCCUGGCAGCGGGACUCCGGAGCACAAGUAGUUUUUUCAUCCAUCCUCCUGGUCAAGAGAAGGUUUGAAAGGGCAAGUCGAGUCUGGCAAAUCAACAGUUGGUUACAGGACUGAUGCCACAUCCAGGGGUUUGGCUACUUAGACCAUGAGACUUUGAGAAACAUGGUCUACUGCGGGUGAUGGGGCCCAUCUGUCAGAGAAGGGGAAGAGCAUCUCCAGCCAUGGGCUGGCCAGGCUGGCAAAGAGGCUUUAAACUGAAGUUGCCAGCAGAGGGGAACCUCAAUCCAUCCCACUCCGACCAGUCUGGUGCCGGUGCCAGUAACAGAUGCACAGAGCCUGGAGAGAGGACACAGGGCAGCACGAGAGCACCUGGAGAGCAGCACAGAGGAAUUCCAGCCAGUAAGUCAGCUUCAUCAGAGGCCUAACCUAAAUGCCUCUAAUGUAAAUGCACGCAGCAUGGGGAAUAAACAAGAGCUAGAAUCUGCAGGGCUAUGACCUUACUGCCACCACAGAGAUGUGGGGGAUGGUUCCUAUGGCUGGAGUGUUGGAAUGGAAGGGUACAGGCUCUUUAGGAAGGACAGGAAGGG